ACCGGAAGCCGGGUUACGGUG
rnacentral:snRNA from 1 species